rnacentral:rRNA from 1 species
UACGGGAGGCAGCAGUGGGGAAUUUUGGACAAUGGGCGAAAGCCUGAUCCAGCAAUGCCGCGUGUGGGAAGAAGGCCUUCGGGUUGUAAACCACUUUUGUACGGAACGAAACGGUUCGCUUUAAUACAGUGGGCUAAUGACGGUACCGUAAGAAUAAGCACCGGCUAACUACGUGCCAGCAGCCGCGGUAAUACGUAGGGUGCGAGCGUUAAUCGGAAUUACUGGGCGUAAAGCGUGCGCAGGCGGUUAUAUAAGACAGUUGUGAAAUCCCCGGGCUCAACCUGGGAAUUGCAUCUGUGACUGUAUAGCUAGAGUACGGUAGAGGGGGAUGGAAUUCCGCGUGUAGCAGUGAAAUGCGUAGAUAUGCGGAGGAACACCGAUGGCGAAGGCAAUCCCCUGGACCUGUACUGACGCUCAUGCACGAAAGCGUGGGGAGCAAACAGGAUUAGAUACCCUGGUAGUCCACGCCCUAAACGAUGUCAACUGGUUGUUGGGUGCAUUAGUACUCAGUAACGAAGCUAACGCGGAAGUGACCGCCUGG